GCGGGGUAGCUCAGCUGGUCAGAGCGCACGACUCAUAAUCGUGAGGUCGCGGGUUCAAGCCCCGCUCCCG
rnacentral:tRNA from 1 species